rnacentral:lncRNA from 1 species
UUUUAAAUCACCAAAUAGAUGGGUUAAAAAUAAAACGUCAAGGGAGAUCAUCUCAUGCACACUCUAAAGCUUCUAAGUUUUAUUGCAUGUCUAAGAAUAUCUGUGUCUUCUAUCUUAAAAGGGAAUUCCUAUAACAACAUACGGUACUGCGAUCCCCUGGCUAUUAUCCAAAAGGCAAAGGCUGCAAAGGCUCUAUGGCACUGUAACUACUUCUGACACAGGACACCAUCUUUCCACCUCUUCCACCACCACCCCACCCCCGCUGUGUAGAAAUAAAAGAAAGAUGCCACUGGAACCAGAAGACCAUAGUCUAUAUCACUUCCCUGGGACAGUAAUGGGUAGACUGCUCUGCUGCCUGUCACGGAACUUAGUCCAUGAAAGUUCUGUCUUUGAAAAGCUACAUAAGAUACCUGCAGGUUGUUCCACAGGAGGGUUGUACUGCUCCAAAGUGAUCCUGUGGAGCUGUGGAGGAUUUUACCUCAGAUGCCUCUGCUUCAGUUUCCCGAUCUGUGAAAUGAGGAUAGGAAUACUGACCUACCUGACAAGGUAAAAUAAUAAAUGUUGUUAACUUCUAUUGCGAUCA